UACGUAGGGUGCGAGCGUUAAUCGGAAUUACUGGGCGUAAAGCGUGCGCAGGCGGUUUUGUAAGGCAGAUGUGAAAGCCCCGGGCUCAACCUGGGAAUGGCAUUUGGGACUGCAAGGCUGGAGUGUGGCAGAGGAGACUGGAAUUCCUGGUGUAGCAGUGAAAUGCGUAGAUAUCGGGAGGAACACCACUGGCGAAGGCAGCUCGCUGGGACGUGACUGACGCUGAGGCGCGAAAGCGUGGGGAGCAAACAGG
rnacentral:rRNA from 1 species